CUUUGUUUGUUUUUUAAAAAAUAACAUGUUUCUUUAAAAAUUAGGAAUAUUUAUGGAAAACAUAUUUAUUUUUUAGUAUAAAUAAGCUUGGCUCUGACUUUAAAAUAUAAUAAUAGCAAAGGAAUACACAUGGUUUUUAUUGAUAGUAGUGAGGUUAAUAAUUAAAUAAUUAUUUGUAAAAAACAAGAAAGUUAUUUAUUUAUUAAAGUAUUAUAAAUUAUAUAAUUCUAGGACUGAACCACUAUACACCAGUGUCAAAUAUUAAUAAAGAAACGAAAGUUUGCUUUAGAUUAGCUAAGAGAUUUGGUUAACUUGGUGCCAGCAUCCGCGGUUAGACCAAGAAAUCAAGUUAUAUAAUAUAGGUAAAAAGACAGUUAAAUAAAUACUAUUAUGUUUUUAGAUUUUUUAUUUAAAAGUAAAAUUUGAAUAUAAAAAAAUAUUUUAAUGAAAACUUAAAUUUAUAUUGAAGCUGUGACAAUUUAGGGAUAAACUAGGAUUAGAUGCCCUAUUAUUCUAAAUUAUAAAUCGAUAUCUUAUAUAUUUACCUGAGUACUACGAGUCCAAAAACUUAAAACUCAAAGAGCUUGGCGGUACUUUAUACCCUUCAGGGGAACCUGUCUCAUAAUCGAUAAUCCACGUGAAACCUUACCUUUUUUAGCUACCAUACAGUAUGUAUACCGUCGUCGUUCAGGCAACUUCUAAAAAUAUAAAAGUUGACAAGCAAGAAUUAUAAAUAAUCUUUGACGUCAGAUCAAGGUGCAGCCAAUAAAAAGGAGAGGAUGGGUUACAAUUAAUAAUUAUAAUUACGGAAUAAAGAAUUAAAUGCUUUAAUGAAGGAGGACUUGAAAGUAAAAAUUUAUAUAUAAAUUUUUUGAAUAUGGCUCUGAAGUGUGCACACAUCGCCCGUCGCUCUCGUUGAAAAAUGAGAUAAGUCGUAACAUAGUAGGGGUAAUGGAAAUUGUCCCUGGAUG
rnacentral:ncRNA from 1 species